AUUGCUAUGUGGCCUUUGGCUAAGAUCCAGGAUAGUAUUAUGUUCUUAUCAGUUUAAUAUCUAUAAUACAUCCUCUCUUCAAGGACAGUACAUUAAAUCAAUUUUUGAAGCAGGGAGAUGGAAUAGAAGCUAGCUAUGUUCAUUGUACACAUUGACCUGGUAUCGCAGCAGCUCCUGGAAUGAUGUACCUCAC